AUGAAAGCUAGUUCCUCUCCCCUCCGUUUCUUUCUCUCCGCUCAGCCUUCUCUCCCUUCCCUGGCACCCCCGGGCCGGCCCCUCCCUCCGCUCCAGCUCGCACCUCUCCCCAGCUGGGUGCACCUGAGGCUGGCGCGGGCUCGGGACGCGUGCAGAGCACGGCGGGCGCGGCGGAGGCAGAGGCGCGCCGACAGCCACCUCCAGCCAGCGCCCGAGGGACCACAGGAGCGGCGCUCCGGGGACUAUUCUCCGCGGCAGCCGCUCACGCCUCGUGGUGACUCUCACCACCGAAGCUGCAGACCGGCCCUUGUGCGCCCCCGGGGCCAGCCAGCCCGGGCGGCCGCUCCUCCUGAUGCCUGGGCCGGGGCGCAGGGCGGCCGCCGGCAGGAGGAUGAAGGGCUCGGCGGGAGGAAGGAGAGAAAAACUGCUGGGGGCGCCGAAGGCUCAGUCCAGCCGCGUUUAUUUACUUUAAGAGAGGAGGAACAAGGGGCAGCGAGAGAGAGAAACCCAAGGAGCCUCCGCACUGUCAGCCUGGAACUUGAUGUGCAGCUCGAACUCAUGAACCGUGAGAUCAAGACAUGAGCUGCAAUCUGGAAUCGGACGCUUCACCGAAUCAGCCACCAGGUGCCCCUCAAAGGAGCUCUUUAAGUUAAAUAAUACUUAUAUAACUAAUGAGAAUUUACUUAAAGUUCGAGAUAACAUUUUACAAAACUUUGUAAAGAUCUUUACAUGUGGUAGAGAUUAGGUAAAAAUACAGUUUUGGUCCUUUUUCUCCCAUAUGCCUUUAAAAAAGUAUUUACCAUCUAGUGUUCUCUGUGGUGUUUAUAUUAGGCAGCUGCAUGAUAGUUAUAAAUUUAGCUUUUGCUUUGUGCUAAUUUUUGGCAUAUUUUCUGAAAUGGAACAGUUUCUAAAAGCUUGCACUGCAGGCAUUUAAGGUAACUUCUUUGGUCAUUUAUAAGGAAAAUACUCAAUGCUUUUAAAAAGCGCAGUAUUCUACCUUUUCAAGAAAAUGCACUGUAGAGAACUUAACCUCUGAAUAUUUCUUUUCUGACUAGAGCUACCAGAUUUCCAUUUUCCUUAUUUCUAAUGAUAAUUUUCUUCUCAUCAUGACCUCCAGCUCCUUAAUCGUUUUUUUACAGUACAUUUUCAUUUCAUAUACUGGACUUGAUUAUUUCUGCAAUGUUCAGUCAAGUAGGCUAUGAUUCCUUUAUCUUAAAAAUUGCAGAAUUCCUGGGAUCUUUUCCUUUUAGUCCUCUGUUGCUGAUCCACAGUCUUAGAUAAUUCCUGCUGCUUAAUGUCUGUUUCUUUGCUUGCUGCUUCCAAAAUAUUGCUGAAAAAUGUCAGGCCGUGGGCCAGUUUAUUUGACCACCAAUUCACUUAGUGCUAAUUCAUCUUGGCUCCUCUUUCAAUCAGAAACACUUAUACUCAACUUUAAUUUCCCUCCUACUUUAUUCUCUACAUCUCUAGCUCCAUAAUUUCCCAUUUACCUCAAGCCUCUGACCUGACUGUCUUCACUCUGGAGAUGCAGUUGUCUGAUUCUUUAUUGAUUUAUCAAGGUUAUCUAAUGUGUGCACUUUUCAUG
ensembl:lncRNA